CAGCUAACGCAUUAAGUGUACCGCCUGGGGAGUACGGUCGCAAGAUUAAAACUCAAAGGAAUAGACGGGGACCCGCACAAGCGGUGGAGCAUGUGGUUUAAUUCGAAGAUACGCGAAGAACCUUACCUGGGCUUGAUAUCCUAAGAACCUUUUAGAGAUAAGAGGGUGCUAGCUUGCUAGAACUUAGAGACAGGUGCUGCACGGCUGUCGUCAGCUCGUGUCGUGAGAUGUUGGGUUAAGUCCCGCAACGAGCGCAACCCACGUAUUUAGUUGCUAACGGUUCGGCCGAGCACUCUAAAUAGACUGCCUUCGUAAGGAGGAGGAAGGUGUGGACGACGUCAAGUCAUCAUGGCCCUUAUGCCCAGGGCGACACACGUGCUACAAUGGCAUAUACAAUGAGACGCAAUACCGCGAGGUGGAGCAAAUCUAUAAAAUAUGUCCCAGUUCGGAUUGUUCUCUGCAACUCGAGAGCAUGAAGCCGGAAUCGCUAGUAAUCGUAGAUCAGCCAUGCUACGGUGAAUACGUUCCCGGGUCUUGUACUCACCGCCCGUCACACCAUGGGAGUUGAUUUCACUCGAAGCCGGAAUACUAAACUAGUUACCGUCCACAGUGGAAUCAGCGACUGGGGUGAAGUCGUAACAAGGUAACCGUAGGAGAACCUGCGGUUGGAUCACCUCCUUUCUA
rnacentral:rRNA from 1 species